rnacentral:rRNA from 1 species
AGUGAACGCUGGCGGUAUGCCUAACACAUGCAAGUCGAACGGCAGCACAGUAAGAGCUUGCUCUUACGGGUGGCGAGUGGCGGACGGGUGAGGAAUACAUCGGAAUCUACUUUUUCGUGGGGGAUAACGUAGGGAAACUUACGCUAAUACCGCAUACGACCUACGGGUGAAAGCAGGGGAUCUUCGGACCUUGCGCGAUUGAAUGAGCCGAUGUCGGAUUAGCUAGUUGGCGGGGUAAAGGCCCACCAAGGCGACGAUCCGUAGCUGGUCUGAGAGGAUGAUCAGCCACACUGGAACUGAGACACGGUCCAGACUCCUACGGGAGGCAGCAGUGGGGAAUAUUGGACAAUGGGCGCAAGCCUGAUCCAGCAAUACCGCGUGGGUGAAGAAGGCCUUCGGGUUGUAAAGCCCUUUUGUUGGGAAAGAAAAGCAGCAGGUUAAUCCCCCGCUGUUCUGACGGUACCCAAAGAAUAAGCACCGGCUAACUUCGUG